rnacentral:lncRNA from 1 species
AACUAUUGCUAGGCCAUUUAUCUUAAUAAUGGGAAUUUAGUUAUCUGGUUGACAAAAAGUUAUUGUCUUUUUUUAAAUAUUUCUUCCAGAUUUGAAUAUCCUCGCCCAUCAACUCCAAGGAAGCAACGUUCUAGGACUCCAAAAGAUGAAACGCUGCAGGUUCUUCAUGUUCAGCAGGUGGCAGAAGUGGAAUCAUUUCACCAACAACCUUCAGGACCUAAAAGUCCUCGUGCUUCAGAUAAUGCUGAGUGUGAAGAAAAAAAUGCCAAUGAAAUUAAACAAAGUACAGAGGAAAAUAUUUCCAAAGCUUUAUCCAUCAACAAGCUACAAACACCCAAAUCUUCAUACAGAAUACAUCAAU